rnacentral:tRNA from 1 species
GCCUUCUUAGCUCAGUGGUAGAGCGUUGGUCUCGUACGAUUAUUGAAGUCAACCAAAGGCCGAGAGUUCAAUCCUCUCAGGAGGCA